CCCGGUUCAAAUCAUGUUAGUUAACUACUCUUCUUUAGAUAACUCUAACACAACAAAAGCCAGCGAUAGGCAUUAUCACAAUUUUCCCGUUUGGCUUUACCAAGUACUUGUGACCUUAUUGCCCCUCCACCUUCUUCUAUCUACAUCCCUAUUCCUCACGCCAAAUUCAAAUUUUCUCAAAAGGCAGUUACCAGGAGCGGCGAAUCAUAUUUUCAGAUUUCAAAAUCAAUCUAGGGAGCCUUGGUUGGAUUCAUUUAUUUCUCAAAAAUCUCAAAAAUUUGGAGUUGUUGUCCUUUGAAGCAAAUUGGAUGUGAUUAAGAUUAAAGUCUUUGGAUGGGAUAGGGGGCUGCGCUCGAGCUCCGUCUCGCCGCCGCCGCAUUUGUCCGAUCUCUCGCACACCCUGACACCUUCCAAGGAUGAUCGAAGUGGCAUAGCUAGUGAGAAGAAGACACCAUCGAUUUCACGGAGGUAAAAAUAUGCUCAAUUUGAUAUGGAGAAUUAAGAGUCUGGUCGAGGCCCCGACUUCGAGUGGAUCGGUUAGUGGCGGUAGGAGUCGCCUUAGAAUGUAAAUAACGCUUUGACCAUGUCGAAAGAGUAGCUGAAAUCAUCAGCUGCAUUUGGGCUCAUCAGGCAGACCAACCUUCUUCACACAUGUCGGUGGUGUCAGCGCUGCACGCUGAGCUUGAGAGAGCUCGGACGCAGGUCAAUUAUCUAAUGCAAGAGCAGCGGAAUAGAGACGAGGUCCAUCAUCUCAUCAAGUGUUUUGCUGAGGAAAAGAUGUCGUGGAAGAGGAGUUCAUCAUCUCAUCAACCUUCUUCACACAUGUUAGGGUUAGUGCGAAAUUUUUAGUUCAGCCCCAAAAAUGGGGGAAUGAGGACAAUCUGGGAAUUAUGAAAUAUUAAUGAGGAUAAAUUCGUGAA